GAUGAACGCUAGCGGCAGGCUUAACACAUGCAAGUCGAGGGGCAGCAUGAGGGUUAGCAAUAACCUUUGAUGGCGACCGGCGCAAGGGUGCGUAACGCGUGAGCAACUUGCCCGUUUCUGGGGGAUAACCGGUGGAAACGCCGACUAAUACCCCAUAGUAUUGAUUUCAGGCAUCUGUUAUCAAUUAAAGAAUUUCGGAAACGGAUAGGCUCGCGUGACAUUAGCUAGAUGGCGGGGUAACGGCCCACCAUGGCAACGAUGUCUAGGGGUUCUGAGAGGAAGGUCCCCCACACUGGAACUGAGACACGGUCCAGACUCCUACGGGAGGCAGCAGUGAGGAAUAUUGGUCAAUGGACGCAAGUCUGAACCAGCCAUGCCGCGUGCAGGAAGACGGCUCUAUGAGUUGUAAACUGCUUUUGUACAAGGGUAAACCCCGGUACGUGUACCGAGCUGAAAGUACUGUACGAAUAAGGAUCGGCUAACUCCGUG
rnacentral:rRNA from 1 species